UUCUCAAAAUUCUAGCGUUAACUUCAAAAUUUCUUGUAGACAAAUUUUUAUAACUUUUCGGCAAAAACCAAUUAGCAGUUAUAAUAGCAAAUGUGAUAUUAUAAUAAAUAAAUAAUAUUAGUUAAAUUCGUUACGAAUACGUUGAGUUUUAAAAAGUUCCUAAAAUAAGUUAACUAUAACCAAGCAUGGUUAUGGAACCUUAUUUGUAAUAUUAGAAUAUAAAAUGAAAUAUCAGACUUUUUUAAAGAAGCUUCUAAUAAAAGUUUGAUAAAAAAAUAUGAAGAAUAUGAAGAAUUCUUAAAAGCAAACCCUAUUCCUCUUUCUAUAAAAAAGAAGAAUCAACAAUGACGUAAUACUUGAAAAAUUAAUAUUAAUUAAUUAUACAUGUUAUUCCAUAACAGGAUGUUACCGUCUACAUAUUAAAAAAUAUUUAUGUCCUCAAGGAGAAUCGCCGCGGUUAUAAACACUGAAUAUAAAGUUAAAAAUUUUAUGAAAAUGGAUAUAUAAGGAACAUUUAGAAUUUCUUUGAGGAAGCUUUCCUUAACCCUAACGGAUAUGACAAAUGUUAGUAAAUACCAGUUACUUUGAAGAUACUUUUCUUUUUGAAGAUUAAAAACCCUACCGGAUAUGACAUGAUAAAAAAUGCAAACCUUUUUUUCGGAACCUUUUUUUUUGUUGAUCAAAAACCCUAACGGAUAUAUGAAUAGAAAUACAGUUGAUAACUGUUUGUUUGAGAUCUUCAAUUGCCGAUUAUAAAUCCUAACGGAUGUAACAAAUGAUAAAAAGUACUCAUUUUUUGAGGAAACUUUAUCUUUUUGUUGGUUAAAAACCCUAAUGUAUGUGAUUUGAUAAAAAGUACCAGACUUUUUGUGAAGAAAAUUUUUCUUUUUCUUGUUUAAAAACCCUAACUGAUGUGACUUAUGAUAAAAAGUACCAGACUUUUUAAGGAAACUUUCCUUUUUACGGAUCAAAUCCCUAAUAGACAUGACAAAUAAUAAAAAGUACUCGCAACUGUUUUAUUUCUUGGUUGAAAAACCUAAUGGAUGUGACAUAUGAUAUAAAGUACCAGACUUUUUUUGAAGAAACUUUUAUUGCUAAUCAAAAACCCUAACGGAUACGACAUUAUCAAUUCAGAAAAAAUAACAAAAUGAUAUAUCUACAUUUAUAAGGCUUUAAAAAUAAAGCUUAUAGAAACUUAAAUGAAAUAUA